GUGAAGCAAUGUAAGCUGCUGUGGGGCCUUGGGCCUUCUUUUGGAUGUUCUGGGUCUCACUGACUCAGCUGCAGUUUGUUAGGUAAGUUUAGAAUUCAAAAGACCAGGCCAUUCAUAUGCAAAAGCCUCUGCACUCAGCUUGG